GCUCCAAUAGCGUAUAUUAAAGUUGUUGCGGUUAAAAAGCUCGUAGUUGGAUUUUUCAGUUUCGAUAUCGCUUCGGUGACCAUCGAUUCUGUACUUGAUAUUUUAUCAAGUUGUUACUUUGAGGAAAUUAGAGUGUUUAAAGCAGAUAUUAGUCAUGAAUAUAUUAGCAUGGAAUAACAUUAAGGAUUAAAAAGACUUUG
rnacentral:rRNA from 1 species